rnacentral:lncRNA from 10 species
GAGAUUGCACGAUUGUACUCCAGCCUGGGUAGUAAGAGCGAAACUCCAUCUCAGAAAAACAAAAAACAAAAACAAAAAAGCAAAACAACCCUUGGCUCCUCAAGCAUGUGAGCUCAGGCAGGGCCAGCCCAGCCUUAACUGUGGAGGCUGGUGGGACAGUCCCAUGGGGAAGCCCACUGCUGCGCCGCUUGGAGGAGGAAACCCAGCAUGUGAGGCUGCUCAUUGUCACGUGGUUUGCUGUGCUCUGCAGAAGGAGAUUCUGUGUUCACACCCAGGAUGUCAUGGAAGAGGAGCUCAUCCCAUUCAUCUCCCUGGCACAGGGUAGACACUUGGGGGAUGCUGCAUUAAGUGAAGUGAACCUGACUCUGUUUCUUUAGCCCCAGCCCACCCGAGUCUCAAUCUUCCCAUCUGUCAAGAGAAAUAAUAAGAUUAUUUGCCUCUAAACAGGUGGCUGAGAUCAUAGAUAGUGCAAAUGAUGUCACUGUUGGACUCUCCGGUGUUAUAUAAAUUUAAGACAUGAACAAUAAAGAAACUACCGAUAUUUACUGCUCAGACAUGCCCACGUUAAGAUUUUAAUGGCUAAAAGGCAGUUGUUUUUCCAUCUGACAUUAUGUUAUUCAACAGAGUAAGUAGUCUAAGUUGGAGGAAUCCCCUUGGGAAUUGACUACAAAGAGCAAAUAAAAAAGAGUAACAGAUCCAAGACCCUUACCCCUUAAAUUUAUUUUCACUUCCUAAAUUGAACUUCAUGCAAAAUAGGUUAUUUAUCACUAGGGUAAAAUAAGAUAAUGGGGAGGUUUAAUUAGCCAAAGCCCUGUGAUAACGCGUUUCUUCCUUACCAAAUACCCAAUGAGAAUGCAUAUCAUUAAUUCUGUGGUUAGCUAAUAAGAAAAUGAAAAAAGCUCCCUUAAUUUUUCCUUGAAAAAAUUUUUAAACUAACACAAAGAUGCCAAUGAAUGAGUAUUUUGCUUACAUCCAUUCACUCCAUCCAACUCUCAUUCAAAUGCUCAUUGUGCACCUGCUAAGGUCAGGUGCGUGCUUUCUGCCAAGCAUUCCAAGAGGAACGUCACAUAGUCUUUGCCCUCAGGAAGCGUACGGUCUGGUUGGGAAAGAGAUGCUUCCAACAAUAAUUCUGAUACCUGUGUGAUAUGGUUUGGCUGUGUCCCCACCCAAAUCUCAUCCUGAAUCCUACUCCCAUAAUUCCCACGUGUUGUGGGAUGGAACUGGUGAGAGAUAAUUGAAUCACGAGCGCGGUUUCUCCCAUACUGUUCUUGUGCUAGUGAAUAAAUCUCACGAGAUCUGAUGGUUUUAUAAACGAGAAGCCCUUUUCGCUUGACCCUCAUUAUAGCUCAUGCCGCAGCCAGGUAAGAAGUGCCUUUCGCCUUCCGCCUUCCGCCAUGACUGUUAGGCCUCCCUAGCCACGUGGAACUUUAAGUCCAUUAAACGUCUUUCUUUUAUAAAUUGCCCAGUCUUGGGUAUGUCUUUAUCAGCAGCGCGAAAACAGAUUACUAACACACUGUGGUAAAGGUGAAAUCAGUGCUCACUCCUUCGGGUGAAUUCCGUCACAUAAUCUCCACUGGGGAAGGGGUGGGCAUGGGCAGCUCCUGGGAGCUGAUGUCUUAGGGGCCCUAACACAAAAGUUCAUGCAGUUCAGCAUCCCUUCCCCUCCCAUGCCCCACAGGGCACAAACGCAUUGUUGUCCAUCACCAAAACACAUUACCCUUAGUACUCGACUCUAAUGAAGUUCCAGUUCCUCAGUUGUAUAACGAGGCUUCCAAGCUCCUAUUUUAAAAGAAAGUUUCUUGAAGCUAAAUAAAAGCACUGCUAACAUGAAAUUAACAGUGGAAAUUUUUGAGUGUAAUUUCAGGGUGAAAAAAACUGAAAAGACAAAUGUAGAUUUUAGAUAUUUCAAGGAAGGAGAGAGAGUAGUGUUGCUGGUACCAUGCCUCUGCACUUGCUAUAGCUGAGUUUCAUUUGAGUAUCCAUUAUUUGGAAGGAGUUCUUAAAUCUAAGCCUGUGGAAGACAAUAAAUUCACAUUAAUUAUCUCUCCAUUUGACUCAAUUUCUGAAGAAGUUCUAUCCUUCUGAUGAACUAUCAGAUUAAAUCCCAGAUUCCUCAGUAUGAUGUCCCUGAAUACCAAUAUAAAGAAUAAAGGAAGAGAUCAAAACCUGGAUGAAUAAUCUGUAUAAACAUGGGCAUAUACACAAGGUAUGACUAUAAUAUUGAGACUCAUCCUAUAAAGCACCUACAAAAGUUGAUUGUAUUAUUUUAUACUUAUGCUUGUGCACAUAAAAAAUAUUUGGCAGGCUAAAGGCCAAAGAACCAGGCACUGUUCUCAAAAGGACAUAGCAGAUUAACUACACCUCUAUUUGUCCUUCUAUACUCAAGGCUACUUACUGUAGUUGGGUUGACCAGGCAGAGUUUAAAUCAAUAUAUGUUGGUUGAGCCUGGAUCUUAGAUGAGAAAUUCACACUAACGUGAAAUUCACACAGACAUAUGUGGAAACACUAAAAACAUUUUCUUUUACUUCAUCCACCAGUGACUUUAAUGAAAGCAGAGCAUAAUAAUUAAUACAAGUAAUUAGAGUUGACAACUGAAGUGUCAAGAAAACCACAGUUCAUCUGUUAUCCGUCCAUCUCUGUUGAAAUAUUAGUUUACUGCCAUAUAUUAAUCUAUUUAUAAAGAGAUCCAGACAAUUAGAAAAAUUAGUCUGGAAUCACCAGGCUGAAGGCUUAGCUGAAGUUAAAAGACAAGUAAAAAUGCCUCCAAACUGUAAAACCUGAGUUGGGGAAUAAAUGGUAAAAUGUGUAAAAAUUUAGAAAAAGGUUAUAUGUGGACUGUAAAAAAUACACUGGACUCACAGGUAAUUAAGGGGUGAAUCAGAGUUGUUUCCUAAAUGGCAUAAGCCAAACUCUUAGAUAUUUCUACCAUUAGCUAAAAGGCAGAGAAGCACUCUCUCUCUCUAUUAAUGCACUUUUAAAAAUGAAAAUUGUGAAGUGUUCUGCCCUUAAAGUGGACCUUUAUUUCAGGUCUGCAUUACUUUGCUUAAUAGAUAUGGUCCUAAAGAUUAAGGUGGUGAUCCAUUUUAUCUUGUAAAAAUGCAUAAUUUAAUCUGAGUUAUAGGAAUUUAAAGCUGCCCUACUUUGAAGGCCUUUGUGACUCAAAGAUUUUUUUAAUUUAAUUUUUAAAUUGAGAAUUACCUGGCUUGGGCUUUUGGUCUUUUUAUAAUACGUAUUGCUGUCUACUUUUUUUUUUAUUCUUGGCUGCCUCAAGCUAUUCUUGCCUCCAAAAGGUGUCAGCAUAUGAAUAAAAACAGCAGAAAAUAAUUACCCUAAUUAGGUCAAUGUAUUAAGCUGUUUCUACAACUGUUUCUCUUAAACACCUUAUCUUUGUAGUCUUGGCUCAUUAGAAAUUCGACUAGUGGUAAGUAUUUAUUUUUUUCCUUCAAGGGGGUUUUUGCUUUGCUAAGCCUCGGGCAUUUGGUUCGUGCAAGAAAUCACAGAAACUGCUCCAGCGGACUCCGAAAGGAGCGGAAAAUUCUUUUGUUUGGGGGCCAUGAGGGGUGGGGGAGGGGUGGGGAUUCUGGUGUAAGCUUUUGGCUUGCAUUCGCUUUCUCCCUCCGAAAGUGGGCGACAUCAAGCAAGUCCCAGUUACAGAAAGAACCCACUGCAGGGCGUCCAGUCACUUGCCCAGUGAAAAGACUGUAAUCAGACAACUUUAAUAAAGGGAGAGCAGGAGAGUGGUGACGAAUUUCCACAUUCCGAACAAGCUUGUCGAAAGAGGAGUGCAGGGAAGGAGCAAGAAUGAGGCACUGGAAGACGGCUGUAGGCGCAUGAUGUCACAAGUUAUUGGAAGAAAUCCCUCCAACCUAGGUUGGGACAGAUGAAGGCGGCGCUUAUUGGUGUUCACCAAAACACCAGCAUGGUGUACCAGCUUUGGCUAGAUGAUGCUCAGACGGGCCUGUCUAAUUGCAGGAAAACAAACUCAGGGCUCCCACUGAUUCUACAUUACGAACACCAGAGACUGGGUAAUUAAUAAAAAGAAGAAAUUGAUCUGGCCUACAGUUCUGGAGCCUUGGAAGUCCGAGAUCAAGGAGCUGCAUCUGUUGAAUGGAUGGCCAGGAUCAAAGCUAUCUGCUGUGAGACACAAUGAGAAAUGCUUUUGUGUAAAGGAAAACACAGAUCCUGGUGCCGAACAUGAGGACAGGGCAGGCCGAAGGAGAAAGUGGAAGGAGGGGAGCUUCUCUCUCAGCCUCAUCCUUCUGGGCCUGGAUGCUGGAGAGUCAUGAGGUGCUUCAGAGUACUCUGGGUGAGGAGGGAAAGAUGGUGCCCACCACAUGGAGGCCAGCCUAGGUCUUGUAUGAAACCUGUGAGGAGAUUCUCUCUCCCUUGCUGUCUUUGAAAAAGCAAGUUGCCAUGUGAAGAGGGCCAUAUAGCAUAGGAGCUGAAGGCAGCCUCCAACUGACGGCAAGAAAAUGAGGUCCUCAGUCUGACAACCUGCAAGAAACUGAAUGUUCUAAAAGCCACAUGAGCUUGGGAGCAGAUCUGACCCCAGCCAAAUCUCUGAAGUCCGCAGGCAGGAAAUGAAGAUCAGAAAAAGGCUAUUGUCUCAUGAAUAUGAGCCAGACUCCACAGAAGCUGGAGUCCUUCAUUAUGGAGCUAAACACAUACACCUGGCUUAGGAGUCAGAAAAACUGAAAGAGAAUUCAGGGAAGUAGAGAAAUUGCAAGCCCAGAUGCUGCUUCAUACCAAAGAAGCAAGUCAGCAGGUCAGCAACAAUGUGUAUCAGUUCCAAAAUGACUUACACAGGUACCAAGACAAGACAUUAUAUACACUUAUAUAGUCAAAUACUUUAAAACUGUUAACAAACUUGCUACAAUUGUCUCAUUUGUCUUUUAACCUUAAUAUCACAGAUCAAGUUUGUAAUCUCAAAAGUUCACCCUGGCUGCUGUGUGGAGUAUUCUCUUAUCUGCUCAUAUUACACUGUGCUUAUUCAUUCAUCAGUUAAUGGAAAUUUGGGUUGUUUCCUGAUUUUGACUGUAAUGAAUAAUGUUGCUGUAAACAUUCAUGUACAGUUUUGUGUGGACAUGCUUUUCUUUCUCUUGGGUAGGUUCCUAUGAGUGGAAUCACUAGAUUGUAUGGUAAAUGUAUGUUUAACUUUUAAAGAAACUGUCAAACUGUUUUCUAACAUGAACGGGCCAUUUUACGUUCUUAUCAACAAUAUAUGAUGGUUUCAAUUUUCCCACAUCCUCACCAACAUUUGGUAUUGUCUCUCUUUUACAUCAUAACUAUUUUAGUGGGGAUGUAGUGAUAUCUUAUCGUGGUUUUAAUUUGUGUCUCCCUAAUGACUAAUGAUAUUGUGCAUCUUUGCAUAUGCUUGUUAGCCAUUUAUGUACAUUCUUUAGUGAAAUGGCUAUUCAAAUCUUCUGCCCAUUUAAAAAUCGAGUUGUUUUUCUUAUUAUUCAGUUGUAAGAGUUUUUUCUUUAUUCUGUGCAAAAGUCCUUUAUCAAGUCUAGGAUUUUUGAAUAUUUUCUCAACCUAGAGCUUGUUUUUCAACAUUUUUUUCUUAAUGAUCUUUUGAAGUGCAAAAGUUUGAUUUUGAUGAAGUCUAAUGUAUCACUUCUUCCUUUAACUGUCAUGAUUUUUGUGUCGUAUCUAAGAACUCUUUACCCAACUCAAAGUUACCAAGGUAUUUUCUUCCAGAAGUUUUGCAGUUUUAACUCUUCUAUAUAGGCCUGUGAUCCAUUUUUAAUUCAUUUUUUGCAUAUGAUGUGAGAGAAGGGCCUAAGUUCAUAUUCGUACAUGUGGAUGUACAAUGGUUCCAGGAUCACUUGCUGAGAAAAGACUAUCCUUUCCCCAUUGAUUUUUUUGGCACCUGUGUCAAAAAUCAAUUGACCAUAAAUGCAAGCGUUUAUAUCUGAACUCUCAGUUCUUCUCCAUUCAUCUCUAAGGAUAUGUCUAUGCUUACAUCAAUAUCACAGUGUAUUCAUGUGGCUUUGUAGUAAAUUUUGAAAUUGGGUGAUAGAAGUCUUUCAAUUUUGUUCUUAGUUUUCAGAAUAGUUUUGGCUGUACUUUGCAUUUUGAUACAAAUUUUAGGAUGUAUGUGUGAAGUUUUACAAAAAUGCUUGCUGGAGUUUUGAUAGGAAUUGUGUUGAACCUAUAGAUCUAUUUGAGGGGGGAAUUGCCAUCUUGACAAGCUUGAGUCUUCCAAUCCAUGGACAGGGAAUGUCUCCAUUUAUUUAAAUCUUCAUUAAUUUUUCUUAGUAACGUUUCACAAUUUUUAGCGUACAAGUCUUAAACUUUUAUUACAUUUAUUUCUGUUUAUUCUUUUUGAGGCUUUGUGAAUAGAAUUUUUUUAAUUUUAUUUUUUGGGCUUGACAUUGCUGAUAUAUACAAAUACAAUAGAUUUUUAAAAUACUGAUCUUAGAUCCUGCAGCUUUGCUAAAUUCUUCGAUUAGUUCUAGAUAUUUUGUGUAUAGAUUCCUUGGUGUUUUCUAUACGCAAGAUUAUGCCAUCUGCAAAUAGAAGCAGUUUUAAUUCUUCCUUUACUCUCAGUCUGCUUUUAAUGAGCUAUUAUGUCUUCUGUUCUGUAUUGGUCAAACCCUCACCUGGAUCACAGUAUUUAUUACUGACCAUCACAGUUUCCUUGAGGAAAUGAAAAAAAUUAAAAAGAUAAAGUAACUAUUACCAUAAUCCCUACAUUCGGACACAAUAUUUAUGAGCAUGUGGGGUAAAUUCUUCCAGACACUCUUGCUAGAGGACGUGUAGCAGAGCUUAUGAUGCACUGAGCCACAUCCUCCAGCCACCAGAUUCCAGUGUAGCUGUGGUGAACUUUGCCUUGCACUUUACCAGUGUCCAUAUAAGCUCAUAUCACAGUGUCUUUCUGUUUUGCUUUCUGGAGGUCAGGGAAGCCUGCUGAGCUAUAUGUAGACCCAACCCAUAUUUUCAAGGUAAUACUCCUUAGUUGAUAGAAGCCCUCAGUCGAUGGGAACAGGAUUUCAUGGAUUAAUGCCCCAGCUCCCCCAUCCUGCAGGACAUAGAAUGUGUGACUAUCCAAGAUGCUUGCAACAUGGUUUCUCAGAGUUCCCAAUGGAAUUGAAUCCCAGCUGCAUACAACUGUAACCCACUCAUUUAUUAACUUUUCUCCCUUCCUCUUUCCCUUCACUUCUGUUUCCUAAGACUACUUCCCUCUAAAUGAUCUGCACCCAAGUCCUUGUCUCAAGGUCUUCUAGAGAAACCCAAACUAAGGCAGUUUGUCAAGGGACAAACUAGGGUACAUCUUUGAAACAGUCAUUAGGAGAGUGAGAGGUCCUGCAACGAUGUAAUAUAAAAGCAGUGAAAAUAGCUGAGAAAAUUAGAAAAAGAGAAAACUUACAGGAAUAAUCAUAGUCAUCUUUAAAUACCUGCAAAGUAAUCAGAUAUAAGAGGACCAAAGGAGACACUGGUUUUAACUGAGCACCUUCCAGGUUAUAUACUAGCUACUAUGAAGUGUAUUUAUUCCAUCCUUACAGCAACCCAGAGGCAAUGAGAACUACCCUUAUUUUUCAAAUAAGAAAACUGAGACACAGAUGAUUAAGGAAUUUGCCAAGGUCCAAAGCUAACAGGUAUUGGAACUAGGAUUCAAAUCCAAGCCUGUCUGCCCCCUAACCUGUGUCUUGCUGCUGUGUGUUUUGCUUUGAAGGGCAAAACAGAGACCAGCAGGUAGACAUUCUAAAUCCAUAGAAUUGUGUUUAUAUGAAUGCAGUGUGUGGCAGAGAUUGUCUAGAUGUUCAUCAAUGCUGUUUUCUCUGUUCUGUUUCUGGACAUACAGGAACACUUCAUGUCCUAGCCUCCUUUAUAAGUAGAUUGGGGCCAUGUAACAGGGUUCUGGCAAAUGGGAAUGUGCAGAUGUGAUAUGUGAUGCUCCUGAUUCAUUCAUUCUGUCUCUUUCUCUCUCUCCCUCUCAGCUAGCUGAAAGCAGAGAACCCAGCAGAGGAUUCUGGGAAGGUCCUGGGGGAUGGCAGAGCCAGCAGAGAGAGGGUAUGGAUCCACCAGGCAUAGGAUGGAACAGAGCACUAUUGACCACAGUGAACUGGGGCAUGGGCAAUCAAUAAACACAUAUUAGAUUAAGCUAUUGAGACUCAGGGAUUUUUAUACAACUGACAUUCCCUAAGAAGCCAUGAUCUUCCUGUCUCAGGAGGUGCAUAAGCAGUGGUUGAAUGUUCAACAGUCAAGAAUGUUAUAAAAAGAGGUUCUUGGGAGAGUGGACCUGAUGGCCAGCAAAAAUCAUAGCUCACAUUUAUUGAGUUAUUAUGGCUCAGGCAUGUGCACAUAUUCUUUUAUUUAAAUCUACAAUAUGCUUUAUCAUGCUCAUUUUAUACAUGAGGAACACAAGGCAUGGAGAGGUUAGAUAACAUGCCUAAGAUCAUGAAGCAAGCAAGGGGGAGAAAAGAUACCCUUCUCACUCCUUCCAGACAGCUCACUUCACCACCACUCCCCACUGUCUCUAAAGCAAAAGUUAUUUGAAGGCUUAGGGACUGGUUUGGUAUUAUCCAUGCAGGGCGGUUUGUUUUGUUUUUCUUUUAAAAUUUCAGCCUAUGCUUAAAAGAUUUCAUGUAAAAAUUCUGUUUUCUAGUUUCUCUUGAAAAUUAAGAAGAUCUGGUAAAACUGGGCUUGAAGACCAUUAUGGUAACAGGCUGCUGAAGCUGAGGAGAGGGCCCCUUCAGAUGGGCAUAAGCACUGCUCCCCCUCCCCAACCCCCCUUUUAGGUUACUAUCAGACUCUGGAAGCUUCUGAAUGUGUGAACCCUGAAAGAGUCCAUCUAAAGCUAAGUUCUCCCCAGGGGUAGAGCCCAAUGCUGGGCAUACAGUAGGG